GUUAACCUAAAUUUACAGUAAUUAACGUGAAUACUCAUGAAAUAAGAAUGCACAGCCCUUAUGAUGAGUCCAUAGCUUAGAUUAACCCUGAGAUAUAACGUUUCUCCUUUUUACCGAAACUGUGUAACAACAGAUUCGUAGUUCUACGCAAUGAAUACCCCAAUCAUUGCGUAUUUUUUUGCCUAAAAUUUGUCA
rfam:Acinetobacter sp. RIFCSPHIGHO2_12_41_5 rifcsphigho2_12_sub10_scaffold_14333, whole genome shotgun sequence.